CCUAGGCUAUACAGGCACUGCUCAUAUGAAAGCUACCACAAAUGCUACGAAAGCUACCACAAAUUGAAAUAUGAAAGCUGGUAACAUGAAGAUUGAGUUAUCAUAAUGAGAUUCUUGUGAUGAGAGUAAUUCUACAACAUUCCCUAAAAACAAGUUAUUUUAGGCAACUAGAAGUGAGCCCGGCAGAGAGAGAGCAAUAUUGAUUUCUCUCUCGCUCCCUCCUCAGGGGAAACCAUUGAAAGGAUUAUGUGUGAGAGCGUUUAUUUAGACUGUGGAGGAGAGUGGAAUAGUUUAGCGCUUGGACUAAACUUAUCCGUUUAAAUUGAAGAGAAAUUAAUCGAAACAAAGUAUUUGAAGACUUGUUUGUUGUUACGUUAAAUUAAUGAUAUAUCAGACAAGGAAACUCAGCUUGCACAUGCCACUGGAAAUUAAUCAAGUUGCCGAAUAGCGACGCACUUGCAUUUUUUUGGAACAUUUCUGAAGACUGUCAGUAGCCUAUAGUCUAAAAUACGCGGAAGGGGUUUUGUGAUGGAAGAAGGAUUUACUUAAUUUUAUACAAACACUUUUCUCUCUCCUGACUGACCUAUGCGAGCAUAUACAAAUGUUUAUGGACUUGGGAAAAGAACACUAGCAUUUCGGAGGAUUACAUUGACAAACAUACAACCUUCAUGAUGAAUCGGGCAUUCUGGGAUGUGAUCUUUCUCAUUACUGGGUCCCUCUUCACCUAUGGAACCGGACAGGAUAAUUCUACUAUUGCUACUAAUUCUACUAUGACCACCACCCCUCCUGUGACUACUACCACUGUAAACAUUAUGCUAUUUUCUACCACUACCAGCACCAUUACUACAACCAACCUUCCAGUUAAAAAGUUUGUGGCAGCAGCUGUUCGAUCACACUUCGAUGACUGUCCUGACUCGCACAGCCACUUCUGUUUCCAUGGCACCUGUCGUUUCCUGAUUCUGGAGGAGACCCCUGCAUGUGUGUGUCACCAAGGCUUUGUAGGGAUGCGAUGCGAGCACGCCGACCUGCUAGCCGUGGUGGCCACCAAUCACAGGCAACAGACAGUUGCCACGGCGCUAGUGCUGUGUGUGAUUGGCUGUGUCUUGACGAUGCUUCUCUGUACACUUUUACAUUGCUGGUGGAGGCGGGACGGUUUGGGGCGGAGGCACAGACUCCACUGUGCCCCAGAGAAACAAGACAGUAGGCUGAAGGGCCGAGGUCCCUGCUGUCACUCUGAAAGUGUGGUUUGAGAGAGAACGCUGCUUGGAACGCCAGGGAUUUUCACGAUGGGCUGCCUUCUCUUCCCAUCUGUCCAUUCAACCCUAAUGCCUACUGGGACUACUAUGGACUACACACAAGAUGGCAUCAGACACCCUGGCUAAUAACAUCCUCACAAAACUGAAAGGGGUAUCUUUAUUACCAGACCAAGGGAAGUUGAAUGUCAUAUUUGAUGUCAUAUUCUCCACAGACCGGGAUUUACAGAACCUCAGCACACUUGGAAUACUGUGAUCUCACUACUGUUGUAAUGCAUGGAGAGAAGAGAGGGAAACUGACCUCUCAGAAACACUGAACUCUCCGGAAGAUCUCUCUGGAACCUGACGUGAGGAGAUCCCCUCAGUGUGACAUAAUGACUGUAAUAAUAAUGAUGCCAAGGACAUGGUCGGAACAUACAGCCCAUGCUGGACAUAACUAGACAAAAUACUUGCAGUCCUCUGCGGAUUUUGGAGCAGGAGAGCAACUAUUUAUUUCAGAUUUGGAUUUGAGGGAUAACUUUUGUUUAAUUCACUUGAAAUCAGAGGAACUCAAAAUUCUCUCUUUUUUUUCUCACUUUUAAAAAAUAUACACAAGCUAAACACAAUAUAUAAUUAUCCAAAUUUAAAGCACACAGAGAUUUUUAAGGUGGAGCAAGAGUGUUUUGAGUUUCUGUUUUUCAACAAGGGAUAUUGACAUGCCUCACCUGACAAAAAUGGGGAGAGUCCCAGUAGCAAUAUCUUUUUAACCCCACUGUGGAUUAAGGACCAAUGGUGGGACUUGGACGUAGUAAUGGGAGAGAUUAUGUUUGGAUUAAAUGCAUGCAAAAGAGUAGAUUUUAAGAGGACUGUGAAGCAUCCAAAGCAUUGCCAACCUAUAGUCCUUAGUAACUUGUAAAUCAAGUAAUAGAACACCAUAAAUUAGUAUUCCUGACACGAGUCUUGCAAUUCCAUUGCACCUCAGAUGUAGUUUGUUGUUUCUGUCCAUUCCUGCACAAAACCUGCAUUACAUUUAGGUUUCUAAGUUGAGUGAUGCACAGACUUUGUUGUGUUCUAACACUUGUUUUAUGCACAUGCAUGCAGUGUUGGGGGAAUGCGUUACAAAGGUAACAUGCAAGGUAAUCCCAUUAUUUUAGGAGUAAUGGAGUUAAGUAAUGUUACUUUUUCAAACUGGGUAAUAUUAUGAUUUUUGUCAAAGUUGUGCGUUACUUUCAGAAUCAACAUCUCUACCGGGCGCGUGUUUCCAUGAUCCGAUCUCGGCUCGUUUCUUCAUUUAGUUCUCGAACAGGCGGAGCAAGUCUCUUUGGAGAAAUCAUGACAGCUGCUGUCCAUAGAAAUGUAUAGAGGGUGCACAUCUGAUCUUUGCCAUUGAUCUCUUCCGUCUAGUGACAAGUGUGCCCUCUAUACACGUCCAUGGGUCCGUGUAGCCGACAUGUGGUGUAUAACCAAAACUGGCAGCCUGAGAGAAAGAUUUUGAAUGAAAAUAUAGGAAAUAUGUACAGAUAUUUGGCUUACAAUGCAUUCAGAAAUUAUUCAGAACCCUUGACUUUUUCUACAUUUUGUUAUGUUAUAGCCUUAUUCUAAAAUUCAUUAAAUUGUUUGUUUUUUUCCCCAUCAGUCUACACACAAUACCCCAUAAUGACAAAGCAAAAACAGGCUUUAAGAAAUGUUCAAUAAUUUAUUACAAAUAAACAACUGAAAUAUGAAAUUUACAUAAGUAUUCAGACCCAUUACUCAGUACUUUGUUGAAGCACCUUUGGCAGCGAUUACAGCCUCAAGUCUUCUUGGGUACUAGCUUGGCACACCUUUAUUUGGGGAGUUUCUCCCAUUCUUCUCUGCAGAUCCUCUCAAGAACUGUCAGGAAGGAUGGGGAGCGUCGUUGCACAGCUAUUUUCAGGUCUCUCCAGAGAUGUUAGAUCGGGUUCAAGUCCGGGCUCUGGCUGGGCCACUCAAGGACAUGCGUUGUCUUGGUUGUGUGCUUAGGGUCGUUCCUGUUGGAAGGUGAAUCUUCGCCCCCCAGUCUGAGGUCCUGAGUGCUCUGCAGAAGGUUUUCAUCAAGAAUCUUUCUAUACUUUGUUCAUCUUUCCCUUGAUCCUGACUAGUCUCCCAGUCCCUGCCAAUGAAAAACAUCCCCACAGCAUGAUGCUGCAACCACCAUGAUUUACCGUAGGGAUGGAGCCAGGUUUACUUCAGACGUGACGCUUGGCAUUCAGGCCAAAGAGUUCAAUCUUGGUUUCAUCAGACCAGAGAAUCUUGUUUCUCAUGGUCUGAGAGUCCUUUUAGGUGCCUUUUUGCAAACUCCAAGCGGGCCGUUGUGCCUUUUUACUGAGGAGUGGCUUCCGUCUGGCCACUCUGCCAUCAAGGCCUGAUUGGUGGAGUGCUGCAAAGAUGGUUGUUCUUCUGCAAGAUUCUCCCAUCUCCACAGAGGAACUCUGGAGCUCAGUCAGAGUGACCAUCGGGUUCUUGGUCAGCUCCUUCACCAAGGCCCUUCUCCCCUGAUUGCUCAGUUUGACCGGGCAGCCAGCUCUAGGAAGAGUUUUGGUAGUUCCAAGCUUCUUCCAUUAAAUAAUUAUGGAGGCCACUGUGUUCUUGGGGAUCUUCAAUGCUGCAGAAAUGUUUUGGUACCCUUCCCCAGAUCUGUGCCUCGACACACUCCUGUCUAGGAGCUCCAAGGACAAUUCCUUCGACCUCAUGGCUUGGUUUUUGUUCUGACAUGCACUGUCAACUGUGGGACCUUAUAUAGACAGGUGUGUACCUUUCCAAAUCAUGUCCAAUCAAUUGAAUUUAGCACAGGUGGAUCAAAGGAAACAGGAUGCACCUGAGCACAAUUUUGAGUCUCAUAGAAAAGGGUCUGAAUACUUAUGGCUAUUUCUAAGAACCUGUAUUUGAUUUGUCGUUAUGGGGUAUUGUGUGUAGACUGAGACAUUUCUUUUACACAUUUUAGAAUGGGGCUGGAAUGUAACAAAAUGUGGAAAAAGUCCAGGAGUUUGAAUACUUUAUGAAUGCACUGUAUAUGGCUAAUUAAGCAGCUCAUAUAUAGCUCAGACUAGCAAAGGAAAGCAGCUCCACCUAUGAAAGGAGAAACUAGUAAUCAAACCUGAGUUAGUAAGUAGUUUGUCUUCAGUAGAGCGUGUGCGGCUCACCUUGCUCACUCCGACAGACAGACAAACAAACAGUUAAUUUGCUCAUGAGAUCAACAGUUCAUGAGAUUUUUUUCAUGAUACUAACAAAGUUAUAGAACUACUGAUAUAGUGUGUUACUUUCCACACAAAGUGUAAAGUACAUGUUGAUCUAUCUACUUAAAGUACUAUAUUGCAUUUUAACAUCUCAACACUGCAUACAUGUUACUGAGAACAUUGUAUGCAUGCGAUUCUUCUCGCGACUUUUUCUAGACAUACACUUUAUUGUAUAGUAAUGUUUUCCUGGGGUACACUACAUAGCAAGUUUGCUCACUCCUCCGAAGCACACUUCUGCACUUAAGUUGCAGUCCCUUCACUUGUGAAAGAUGCCAAAUGCACCUGAAGAUCUUACAUGUCUGAUAGAGCUCAGUUACAGAUGCAGAGACACAUGCUAUAGGGCACAUCCACCUAUGCGUGCAUACACAAAGUACACUGUUUCUAGAUAUGAAACAAAUCUGACAACACAGUAUUUAUAUUAUUGCACCCCACAAAUAUGCACAAACAGAGCUUUUGGCUAGAAUGUGUUGUUUUACAACGGUAAAUUGUGGUUUAAGAGGAGAGAACAUAUGAUGGGAAUAGAGAGCUUAAGCAUCUGAAUGGCGAUUUUUUUUUUUUUUUGGUACAGUUCUGGGGAAAAAAAAUAAACGUACAAAAUAAUUGUGAAUUGCUGAAAUACAAAUAUUUUGAGGGAAAGUAAGUAGGGUUGGAGACCAGCUCUAUAUUUAUUUGUAAAUGUGUGUAUUCAAUUCAGACAUUUUGGCUAUGCUUAUUAUUCCAUAAGCCUACAAAAUUCUAUUUGAUUAAAUGAAAGCAGUCAGAAACCACAUUUUUAUCAGUAGAUAAAUAUUUUGAACUUUCAGGUGCAUGAAAAAUGUGCAAGAGAUGCUAAAAGAGAAUCGAAUAAGGAGGGAAAGUUAGAGGGGGUGAAAUAAAAUGUAUGAUUGAGACAGGGGCGAACUCUUUUUCCACUGUAUUGUGAAUAUUUUGUUUAGAAGCCUCAAUACAACAGUUUGUGUCCCAGAUAUUACUCUUGUUUUUCUGUUAACAACAUCUGGUUAUGAACUGAAAAUGAGAUUUCAAGCAACGAUAUCUGUGUAUACAGUGAAAGUUGAUGGUCAUGUAGGUAAGCAUGGACAACACACAUACUGAACAAUGUAAAGUUGUAAACUAUACAAAUGAAAUACACUACAGGGCCAAAAGUAUGUGGACACCCCUUCAGAUGAGUGGAUUCAGCUAUUUCAGGCACACUUGUUGCGGACACAGCCAUGCAAUCUACAUAACAUUCAUUGCCAGUAGAAUGGCUUUACUGAAGAGCUCAGUGACUUUCAAUGUGACACAGUCAAAGGAUGCCACCUUUCCAACACGUCAAUUCAUAAAAUUUCUGCCCUUCUAGAGCUGCCCCAGUCAACUGUAAGCGCUGCUAUUGUGAAGUGGAAGCGUCUAGGAGCAACAACAGCUCAGUUGUGAAGUGGUAGGCCAAAACAAGCUCGCAGAAUGGAACCGCUGAGUGCUUGUCUUCGGUUGCAACAUUCCCUGCCGAGUUCCAAUCUGCCUCUGGACGCAACUUCAGCACAAGAACUGUUCGUCGGGAAAUUCAUGAAAUGGGUUUCCAUGGCCGAGCAGCCGCACACAAACCUAAGAUCACCAUGAGCAAUGUCAAGCCUUGGCUGGAGCUCGCCGCCAUUGGACUCUGGAGCAGAGGAAACACGUUUUCUGGAGUGAUGAAUCACACUUCACCAUCUGGCAGUCCAACAGACAAAUCCGGGUUUGGCGGAUGACCGGAGAACGCUACCUAUCUGAAUGCAUAGUGCCAACUGUAAAGUUUGGUGGCAAAAGAAUAAUGGUCUGGGGCUGUUUUUCAUGGUCACAGGCUAGGCCCUUUAGUUCCAGUGAAGGGGGAACCUAACGCUACACCAUACACUGACAUUCCAGACAAUACUGUGCUUCUAACUUUGUGGCAACAGUUUGGAGAUGGCCCUUUCCUGUUUCAGCAUGACAAUGCCCCCUUGCAGAAAGUGAGGUCCAUACAGAAAUGGUUUGUUGAGAUGGGUGUGGAAGAACUUGACUGGCCUGCAUAGAGCCCUGACCUCAACCCAUCGAACACCUUUGAGAUUAAUUGGAAUGCAGACUGCGAGCCAUGCCUAAUCGCCCAACAUCAGUGCCCGACCUCCAUAAUGCUCUUGUGGCUGAAUGGAAGCAAUCCCUUCAGCAAGUCCCUUCAGCAAUGUUCCAACAUCUUGUGGAAAGCCUUCCCAGAAGAGUGGAGGCUGUUAUAGCAGCAAAGGGGGGACCAACUCCAUAUUAAUGCCCGUGCUUUUGGAAUGUGAUGUUCGACGAGCAGGUCUCCACACACUUUUGGUCAUGUAGUGUGUAAUCCAUGUACACUUUUUAUUUUGAAGAGAAUAACAGUAGUAUUGACAAUGUGAGUCCAACUGCAGACUUUACCUUGUCAAAUAUAAACUUUUUGGAUCUUCAUCAACAGUACAACGUUUCUGGAUAUUCUCGUGUGAACUAACCAGUUGUAUGAUGAUGUAAUGUCCUUGACUUGUAUGGAUGUUUAUUUCUUUUUCAAUGAAGACUGAAAUCUGCAAAGGUGGCUGUCUCCCUGCUGUUUUCUGUUGCCCAGUAACAUCUUAGGACUCCUACUCGCGAACAAAGGAGAAAUGGCCAAGAAGGAGAAGCAAGAGCAAAUUCUUAUUUACAAUGAAGACCUACCCCAGUGAUGCACAGCCCUAUGGGACUCCCGAUCAUGGCCGGAUGUGAUACAACCUGGAAUCGAACUGGGGACUGUAGUGAUGCCUCGUGCACUGAGAUGCAGUGCCUUAGAUUGCUGUGCCACUCGAGAGCCCUAGACAUUUAGUGCCUUCAGAAAUGAUUCACACCUGUUGACUUUUUCCACAUUUUGUUGUGUUACAGCCUGGCCAACACACAAUAACCCAUAAUGUUACAGUGAAAUCAUUUUUUUCUA